UUCAAAUAAAUUUAUAUAUUGAUUUUGUAAAUC
rnacentral:tRNA from 1 species